rnacentral:rRNA from 1 species
GGACUACCCGGGUAUCUAAUCCCGUUUGCUCCCCUAGCUUUCGCGCCUCAGCGUCAGAAGAGGUCCAGUGCGUCGCUUUCGCCUCCGGCGUUCCUUCCAAUAUCAACGCAUUUCACCGCUCCACUGGAAGUUCCACACACCCCUACCUCCCUCCAGACAGACAGUAUCAAAGGCACUUCUACAGUUAAGCUGCAGGAUUUCACCCCUGACUUGUCCGACCGCCUACGCGCCCUUUAAGCCCAGUGAUUCCGAACAACGUUAGGACAGUUCGUCUUACCGCGGCUGCUGGCAC